GACGACGCUGGCGGCGUGCUUAACACAUGCACGUCGAACGAGUGGCGAACGGGUGAGUAAUACGUGGGAACCUGCCCUCCUUUUUGGGGUAAGACUUGGAAACGGGGUCUAAUACCGAAUACAGGGGGAUGGGCUAACGGCCUAUCAGCUUGGUGGGGGGGUAAUGGCCUACCAAGGCGUCGACGGGUUGCCGCCCUGAGAGGUGGUACUGCCACAGUGGGACUCAGACGCGGUCCAGACUCCUAAGGAAGGCACCAGUGGGUAAUAUUGCACAAUGGGCGCAAGCCUGAUGCAGCCAUGCCGCGUGUAUGAAGAAGGCCUGCGGGUUGUAAAGUACUUUCAGCGGGGAGGCGUUACCCGCAGAAGAAGCACCGGCUAACUCCGUGCCAGCAGCCGCGGUAAUAC
rnacentral:rRNA from 1 species